UAUAAUUUUGAAACCAAAACGCCUUUGCCGACGCCAUCAACUUUGAAAAUCUCUCUACCCUUCUCCUUCCCCCAAAACCCAAAUCUCUACCCUUUUCCUUCCCUUAAAACCCAACUCUGAAAAACUUUUAGCAUGUGACCACUCCUAUUUAUUCUUAGAAACCAUCUCCUUCCCCCCAAAUUCUCACCCAAAACUCCUAUAGCAUGCAACCCCUCCUCUCUCUUCUUAGAAACCAUUUGGUCUAAACUUGCUCAAGUAGUAGAUAUAGUACUAGUCUGAUUUGUGUGAGCCCCGAAGCAAGAUUUGGAAGAGGAGGAUCAAGUUUAUUUGGGCAACUCGAACUAAGACUCAGAUUGGUAGUAGAUUGAGUUUGAGAAGAAACUAUGGGGUCAAAGAUAAUAAAUUUGGGGUGGAUGCUUAGGCUCUUAUGCUCAAGGGUGUGAAGGAAGCUUACUUAUGUUAUCAAGUGACCACAUGACACUUCUUAAAGCUUUUGAAGGAUAGAAGGAUGCAAACUGUAAUGAAAAGAGUCCUGUCACCUUGCAAAUGAUAGAGGAUAUGAGAAUGCAAUUUGUGGAUCUAUUUAACAUUGGCUUUGUAAACAAAUUGAUGAGUGCUAA